AACGAACGCUGGCGGCAUGCCUAACACAUGCAAGUCGAACGAGACCUUCGGGUCUAGUGGCGCACGGGUGCGUAACGCGUGGGAACCUGCCCUUAGGUUCGGAAUAACUCCCCGAAAGGGGUGCUAAUACCGGAUAAUGUCUUCGGACCAAAGAUUUAUCGCCUUUGGAUGGGCCCGCGUUGGAUUAGCUAGUUGGUAGGGUAAAAGCCUACCAAGGCGACGAUCCAUAGCUGGUCUGAGAGGAUGAUCAGCCACACUGGGACUGAGACACGGCCCAGACUCCUACGGGAGGCAGCAGUGGGGAAUAUUGGACGAUGGGCGAAAGCCUGAGCCAGCAAUGCCGCGUGAGUGAUGAAGGCCUUGGGGUUGUAAAGCUCUUUUACCCGGGAUGAUAAUGACAGUACCGGGAGAAUAAGCGCCGGCUAACUCCGUG
rnacentral:rRNA from 1 species